AAAAUAUUUAUUUUUUUUCCUAAAAGAUCACACAAAAGUUGGGAAGAGAAGGAUGUCAAUUAGACUACAUCAAAAUCUGGGCAGAGGGAGGACAAAGAGCUGCCUAAAGAAACUGGUAGCUGGAGCAAACUGCAGAGAUCAAGAUGACCCUAGUCAACGGAACCAGCAGCCCAGAGCAGGGUGUAGGAAGUGUGCCCAGAA
rnacentral:lncRNA from 10 species